UACGUGGGGAGCAAGCGUUGUUCGGAUUUACUGGGCGUAAAGGGCGCGUAGGCGGCGCAACAAGUCACUUGUGAAAUCUCCGGGCUUAACCCGGAGCGGUCAAGUGAUACUGUCGUGCUAGAGUGCGGAAGGGGCUACUGGAAUUCUCGGUGUAGCGGUGAAAUGCGUAGAUAUUGAGAGGAACACCUGCGGCGAAGGCGGGUAGCUGGGCCGACACUGACGCUGAUGCGCGAAAGCUAGGGGAGCAAACGGG
rnacentral:rRNA from 1 species